UACGGGGGGGGUAAGCGUUGUUCGGAAUUACUGGGCGUAAAGCGUGUGUAGGCGGCUACAUAAGUCGGAUGUGAAAGCCCCGGGCUCAACCCGGGAAGUGCACUCGAUACUGCGUAGCUUGAGUCUCGGAGAGGUUGGUGGAAUUCUCGGUGUAGAGGUGAAAUUCGUAGAUAUCGAGAGGAACACCGGUGGCGAAGGCGGCCAACUGGACGAAGACUGACGCUGAGACACGAAAGCGUGGGGAGCAAACAGG
rnacentral:rRNA from 1 species